UACGAAGGACCCAAGCGUUAUCCGGAUUUAUUGGGUUUAAAGGGUGCGUAGGCGGGUUAUUAAGUCAGNGGUGAAAGCCUGCAGCUUAACUGCAGAACUGCCAUUGAUACUGAUGAUCUUGAGUAUGAUUGAGGUGGGCGGAAUGUGUCAUGUAGCGGUGAAAUGCUUAGAUAUGACACAGAACACCGAUUGCGAAGGCAGCUCACUAANCCAUAACUGACGCUGAUGCACGAAAGCGUGGGGAGCAAACAGGAUUAGAUACCCUGGUAGUCCACGCCCUAAACGAUGAUCACUCGAUGUGUGCGAUACACUGUACGCGUCUGAGCGAAAGCAUUAAGUGAUCCACCUGGGGAGUACGACCGCAAGGUUGAAACUCAAAG
rnacentral:rRNA from 1 species